GGACUACUCGGGUAUCUAAUCCUGUUCGCUCCCCUAGCUUUCGCAUCUCAGCGUCAGUUCCCAGCCAGGACACUGCCUUCGCCUUUGGUAUUCCUCCGGAUAUCUACGCAUUUCACCACUCCACCCGGAAUUCUAUGUCCCUCUCUGGUCCUCAAGUCUCGCAGUGUUCGAAGGCCUUGCUCAGUUAAGCCGAGCACUGUCACUCCAAACUGACGAAACCGCCUGCAUGCCCUUUACGCCCAGUAACUCCGGACAACGCUCGCCCCCUACGUAUUACCGCGGCUGCUGGCAC
rnacentral:rRNA from 1 species